AUGGUUUUGUGUCUGAGCCAGGCCAGUCACUGGACAGUCGGUCUCUUUCCCAGUCCCGUGCCUCGGGGCUGUUGUGGCGUCUCCGUGCACCGUGCCUGGCCCUCGGGCUGGCUCCACCAGCGCCUCCUCGCGCCCUCCCUCUGCGCGUCGCCCGGUCCGGCUACCCUUCCCCUGACCCCCAGGAGCCGCGCCGCACGGCCUGUUUGCAGCCCAGGGCCGCACGGCGAAGCUUCCGGGAGCCUGCGCUGCCUGGACUUGGGAAAGGGCAGGAGCAGCUGCCUCUCCCGGGUGCAAGAGAAAAGUGGACGCGAUGUCCCGGGUGCGUGCGCGUGCGCGCGUCCGCCCCGCAGGCCGCACGGAGCUCGCCGGGAGCGCCUGGAGCAGCCGCGGCCACCGCUGCGAGGGCCCGGCCCGCCGCCAGGGGGCAGUGUGUCUCCGCCGCAGGCGGCCCGGGCGGUCUGCUCAACGUUCGCACGGUUUGCGGCACCGCCCGCCCAACGUGAAGAACUAAUUAAAGCAUCUUUCUCCGUGGUAGAGAAGAAACCCAGACAACCGACAGAACCUGCCCGCUGCCUUUGCAGGAAGACGCAGAACGUGGCUCGGCCACCCCACCCCGGGCUUUCCCGGGCCGAAGGACCCAGGACCCAGCGGCCGAAUUCCUCCCGUGGCAGCGCCGUGCGUGACUGCGUGUGCGCUCGCCCGGGCAGGGAUCGCGGCGGCCUCUUCUCCGGAGGGGAAUGCCCAGCCCCCAUGCAGGCCCGCGCGGCUCUGCUGCGUGUGUGGCACCGGGCCGGACAGAUGCUCCUCCUGCUGCGUGCAAAUAUACGAAGAAGAGAAACCUCCUGGGCCGCGGGCACCAGCUCAGUUCUUCCUGUGCGUGACCCAACACGCGCUCCCCUCAGCCCCCUACAACGGCCACGUUCUUGUCUCUGUUCCCAGUGGGGUCGCGGGAUACAGGAGCACGCAGACCUGACUGGGUGGGGGGCUCCCGGCGACAGGCUUGGCUACAGGGACAAGGGAGGAAGAGGGAGCCGAGAGACUGCCGGGGUUUGA
rnacentral:lncRNA from 1 species